rnacentral:misc_RNA from 1 species
AACUUUUGGCAACGGAUCUCUUGGUUCUCGCAUCGAUGCAGAACGCAGCGAUAUGCGAUAAGUAGUGUGAAUUGCGGAAUUCCGUGAAUCAUCGAAUCUUUGAACGCACAUUGCGCCUUCUAGUAUUCUGGGAGGCAUGCCUGUUUGAGCGUCAUUAAAACCUACUCAGGUAGUUUACUUGGAAGUGAAGGAAGAAUACUUUUUAAAUAAAGAGUUCUCCUUUGAAAUUGAUUAGCAGAUGGUAUAAAAUCCUGACGUUGCAAGAUUUUUUAUCUUUCGAAGGUGAUUUUAUUAUCUUGCUUCAAAUCCAUUUAUUGGCAUAUAUAUUAUAGUUAUGUUUGUUUUCAAAUAUACUAAAUAUUGUUGACAGUAAAUAAUUUAUUUAUAAGUUGACCUCAAAUCAGGUAGGGAUACCCGCUGAAUUUAAGCAUAUCAAUAAGCGGAGGCU